rnacentral:rRNA from 1 species
AUGAUGGAGGACUCCAGGGACUGGAACAUGGAACUGAUAAACCAAAUUUUCAACAAAUUUGAUGCAGAAGAGAUUGAGAAAAUAAGAAUCCCAACUCGUGAGGUGGAGGAUGUGAUAGCCUUGCACUAUGAGAAUACUGGUAUUUUCACGGUCAAAAGUGCAUAUAAACUGGCUUACAGAAUCAGCCGGAACUACAAUACUGGAGCUUCCUCUUCGGCAAAUGAGGUAGGAGAUAGAUGCAUAUGGGACACCAUUUGGAAGGCAAAAGUCCCUCAAAAGAUUAAGAUGUUCGGGUGCCGUGCAGCUACACAAUCACUGGCCACUAAGCAUAAUGCUUUUAGGCGUACAAUUGCCACCAAUAAUACCUGCGAUCUUUGCGGGAAUGGAAUAGAGGAUGAGUAUCACGCUCUCAUCGCUUGCACAAGAAGCAGGGCCUUGAGGCAUGAACUAAGGUCGGUCUGGGAUUUACCAAAAGAAGAAGCCUUUAGGGAUACUGGAGAUCUUUGGCUUCAAAUGCUGCUGGGCACGCAAAGCGAGGCAACCAAAUGGAGGAUCCUACUUAUGUGUUGGCGGGCAUGGAAUCUGCGUAACGAUGUGAUUCACGAUUCUGGGAAGGAGACUGUGACUAGAUCGGUGCGUCUUCUAGUCAGAUAUGAAACUGAAUUUUUGGAGGCCCAGACAGUCACUGAAACUGAAGCAGGGGGGAAAGCAGAGAAAGACCAGGCUGGACACAGCUUUGGUGCCUCCCCCAAGCACUGGUCUCCGCCGGCCCCUGGGUGGGCAAAGCUAAAUUUGGAUGCAGCCUUUUUAGCAGACACAGGUGACAGCUGCUGCGGUGCUGCGGCUCGCGACCCCCAGGGUCUGGUCUUUUUCUCAGUUUGCAACGCCUAA